UUUCGCUCAAGUCUCAAGAUAAUCGUGGGUUUUUAUCAAAUGUUGUUUUGGAUAAGUGACUCUGAAUCCGGCCAAAGGCUUAUUUGAUCUCAGGUAUGAAAUAUUACUGUUUAUAUCAUAUAAUUAUAACGUCCAUCGACCCUAUUUAUAAUAUCUAAUUUAUCUGGGCUGUUGUGGUUGCUAAAAUUUGAAUUUGCGCGCGCGAGAAUUCGUACGUUUUACAUUGAGAUUAUUUCAUUUCAAUGCAGUCAAAUAUUAGUUAAAAUCAACAAUUCAAAUUUUGAGUAAACACAUUAUAGUAAAUACUGGGUUGCACUUGUUUGGCAGACUCGAAAGCAUGUUUGAAACCACAUAUUACUAAGUAUAUAGCCAUAAAAUAUUCACAUAUUGUUUUAUAUUUGCUGAUUUCUACAAGCCUAAUAGCCAGAACAUGAAAUUAUUUCAGAGUCUCAGAGUAUUGAACUUUAGGAAAUUACAAUGUUAUCUAUCUGAAUCAUAAUGUUGUUAACCCAAUAUAUAGAAUUGACUAAAAUGAUCAGUUCAGUGCUAUUCCAGAACCUUGGUUAGCAUUCUACAAGCAUAUUUAAAUUUAUGUGUUGACAUGGUUGAAUUUAUCUGUUCUUUUAAUCACCCCCUCCCCUGGAAUUUCAAAAUCUUUCAAGCCAUUGAGUGGCAGCUUUCUCCCCUUGACAAGUAAACUAGUAAAAUAGAGUGCAUCAGGGCGCAUUACGUCUUAAAGGUCAGUGCUGCCCACAAUAUCAUAAAAAGUAUAAACCUGAUGAGCUUGAAGGAGUUUAACUUACAUAUGUGUCUGAUAAUGUGAUAACGGAAUGUCAGUGGACUGGAGAUUUUAAUCCAGCUUUGCUGAUAAACUUGGUUAAGGUGGUGUAUUUAUAUAAAACAGGGUGGCAUGUUUAUAUAGAUGGAAUACACACCACCUGGCAGGGAUGAUAGAGUACUUAUAUGAGAAUAUUUUGUCUUGGCAGGUGGGAUUCCCGCAACAAAUAAUGGGAUCCUGCCUAGGCCAAAUAGAAAGAGUCAUUCAUUUUACUGUGAACACUCAGGGUUCAUGUUGCCAUGCAGUGGGAUCAUAAAUACCAAAUGUGACUAGCCGGGAUCACAUUUAAAAUGACCCUUGGCAUAUGGAAUUAAAUGGGUGUAAAUGAUUAGAUUGUUACUGCAGACUCUAUAUACCCUGCUGGCAGUGGUUUUUGAGCUGAGGAGAAACCAAUCCGAGCAAACGAACGAUCGUUUCAUGUAGCCGCUGCCCAGAUUCACGGACGAAUACAUUAAAUUCUCAACCGGUAAAACAAGUUUGACUAGUUUUUGUUGUUGUUGUUGUGCGCAUGGGUCAAUGCUUGCCGCUGCUGGUAAAUGUCAACCAGUUGUACACUUGAAAAGACAUCAAAUUUUACAAGAGAUUGAAUAAAAUGUGAAAAAUUAUUAAGAUGACUUGAAAACCACAUAGCGUUCAACAGAAUAACUAUAAAUUACACCCUGCAACAAAAAUCAACCUUUACAGAAAUUGUAGCACCGUCGCGACUCGAUCUUUGAUGGGUUAGUGAAAUUUGUGGCGGUUGAGGUCGCGACAAUGAAAAAUUGCAAUAAUUGUUAAAAUCAACAAUAAUUGGAAACAUUAUUAAUAAUGUUAAUUGGAAAUUGGAAUUUAUCGAAAACCUCACAAUCUCUAACGUCAAGAUUUUUAAGUAACACAAAUAAAGUUCAUAAACCGAAUUAAAAAAUUGAUAUUGUCGGAUAAAUACAAAAAUUUUAAAAGAUAUAACAGAAAUUCAAAUGCACAAUUUGUACUUACAGUAGCUGUAGGGUGAAGCACCGAUUUCAAAAUAUUUUAGUGCUGGCCAUAACGAGAUUAGAACCGAUACAUAAAUUGUGAACUGCGUGUAGAAUUAAAAAGUCGUUCGAUUAAAACUGACAGGCAAUAAAUAAAACCACAGAUAAAACAGUACUAUACCACGCUUGUUUACAGAUAACGGACUGCAGGAAGUGAAGUCAAAUUAGUGACUUCCCAUCAUGUGAUCUUCGCGCAUGCUCGAUAGAAGGUCGUUCGUUUGCUCGCAGUAGUUUCUCCUCAGCUCAGAAACCACUACCAGCAGGAGAGACUCUAUAAAAACAGCAGUAUAACUACAUAAAACUAGUAUUCUUUUACAUGCGCUGACAUCUUGUAUUCUCAUUGCCAGCUGACCUAUUACAACUGACUCGCAGACAACAGAGGGAAGCUGCUUAAAAUUACUAUAUGGUGAGUGUGAUUAUAAAGAAUGAAUUUUCCUUUAUUUGUUGGUAGAUUUUAUCCCAGAACCUUGACUUAGAUGAUACAGUG
rnacentral:lncRNA from 1 species